CCUACGGGUGGCAGCAGUGAGGAAUAUUGGUCAAUGGGCGCGAGCCUGAACCAGCCAAGUCGCGUGAGGGAAGACGGUCCUAUGGAUUGUAAACCUCUUUUGUCGGGGAGCAAAAGACGCCACGCGUGGCGUUCCGAGAGUACCCGAAGAACAAGCAUCGGCUAACUCCGUGCCAGCAGCCGCGGUAAUACGGAGGAUGCGAGCGUUAUCCGGAUUUAUUGGGUUUAAAGGGUGCGCAGGCGGAAGAUCAAGUCAGCGGUAAAAUUGAGAGGCUCAACCUCUUCGAGCCGUUGAAACUGGUGUUCUUGAGUGAGUGAGAAGUAGGCGGAAUGCGUGGUGUAGCGGUGAAAUGCAUAGAUAUCACGCAGAACUCCGAUUGCGAAGGCAGCAUACCGGCGCUCAACUGACGCUCAUGCACGAAAGUGUGGGUAUCGAACAGGAUUAGAUACCCUAGUAGUC
rnacentral:rRNA from 1 species